rnacentral:rRNA from 1 species
UACAGAGGUCUCAAGCGUUGUUCGGAUUCAUUGGGCGUAAAGGGUGCGUAGGUGGCGCCGUAAGUCAGGUGUGAAAUCUCGGGGCUCAACCCCGAAACUGCAUUCGAUACUGCCGUGCUUGAGGACUGGAGAGGAGACUGGAAUUUACGGUGUAGCGGUGAAAUGCGCAGAUAUCGGGAGGAACACCUAUGGCGAAGGCGGGUCUCUGGACAGUUCCUGACGCUGAGGCACGAAGGCCAGGGGAGCAAACGGG